UUAAGCGACUAAGCGUACACGGUGGAUGCCCUGGCAGUCAGAGGCGAUGAAGGACGUGCUAAUCUGCGAUAAGCGCCGGUAAGGUGAUAUGAACCGUUAUAACCGGCGAUUUCCGAAUGGGGAAACCCAGUGUGACUCGUCACACUAUCAUUAACUGAAUCCAUAGGUUAAUGAGGCGAACCGGGGAACUGAAACAUCUAAGUACCCCGAGGAAAAGAAAUCAACCGAGAUUCCCCCAGUAGCGGCGAGCGAACGGGGAGGAGCCCAGAGCCUGAAUCAGCAUGUGUGUUAGUGGAAGCGUCUGGAAAGGCGCGCGAUACAGGGUGACAGCCCCGUACACAAAAGCGCAUGUGCUGUGAGCUCGAUGAGUAGGGCGGGACACGUGGUAUCCUGUCUGAAUAUGGGGGGACCAUCCUCCAAGGCUAAAUACUCCUGACUGACCGAUAGUGAACCAGUACCGUGAGGGAAAGGCGAAAAGAACCCCGGCGAGGGGAGUGAAAAAGAACCUGAAACCGUGUACGUACAAGCAGUGGGAGCACCCUUUGGGGUGUGACUGCGUACCUUUUGUAUAAUGGGUCAGCGACUUAUAUUCUGUAGCAAGGUUAACCGAAUAGGGGAGCCGGAGGGAAACCGAGUCUUAAUUGGGCGUUAAGUUGCAGGGUAUAGACCCGAAACCCGGUGAUCUAGCCAUGGGCAGGUUGAAGGUUGGGUAACACUAACUGGAGGACCGAACCGACUAAUGUUGAAAAAUUAGCGGAUGACCUGUGGCUGGGGGUGAAAGGCCAAUCAAACCGGGAGAUAGCUGGUUCUCCCCCGAAAGCUAUUUAGGUAGCGCCUCGUGAAUUCAUCUCCGGGGUAGAGCACUGUUUCGGCUAGGGGCCAUCCCGGCUUACCAACCCGAUGCAAACUGCGAAUACCGGAGAAUGUUAUCACGGGAGACACACGGCGGGUGCUAACGUCCGUCGUGAAGAGGGAAACAACCCAGACCGCCAGCUAAGGUCCCAAAGUCAUGGUUAAGUGGGAAACGAUGUGGGAAGGCCCCAGACAGCCAGGAUGUUGGCUUAGAAGCAGCCAUCAUUUAAAGAAAGCGUAAUAGCUCACUGGUCGAGUCGGCCUGCGCGGAAGAUGUAACGGGGCUAAACCAUGCACCGAAGCUGCGGCAGCGACGCUGAUGCGUUGUUGGGUAGGGGAGCGUUCUGUAAGCCUGCGAAGGUGUGUCGUGAGGCAUGCUGGAGGUAUCAGAAGUGCGAAUGCUGACAUAAGUAACGAUAAAGCGGGUGAAAAGCCCGCUCGCCGGAAGACCAAGGGUUCCUGUCCAACGUUAAUCGGGGCAGGGUGAGUCGACCCCUAAGGCGAGGCCGAAAGGCGUAGUCGAUGGGAAACGGGUUAAUAUUCCCGUACUUGGUGUUACUGCGAAGGGGGGACGGAGAAGGCUAUGUUGGCCGGGCGACGGUUGUCCCGGUUUAAGCGUGUAGGUGUGUGUUCCAGGUAAAUCCGGUUCACUUUAAACACUGAGGCGUGAUGACGAGGCACUACGGUGCUGAAGCAACAAAUGCCCUGCUUCCAGGAAAAGCCUCUAAGCAUCAGGUAACAUCAAAUCGUACCCCAAACCGACACAGGUGGUCAGGUAGAGAAUACCAAGGCGCUUGAGAGAACUCGGGUGAAGGAACUAGGCAAAAUGGUGCCGUAACUUCGGGAGAAGGCACGCUGACACGUAGGUGAAGUGAUUUACUCAUGGAGCUGAAGUCAGUCGAAGAUACCAGCUGGCUGCAACUGUUUAUUAAAAACACAGCACUGUGCAAACACGAAAGUGGACGUAUACGGUGUGACGCCUGCCCGGUGCCGGAAGGUUAAUUGAUGGGGUCAGCGCAAGCGAAGCUCCUGAUCGAAGCCCCGGUAAACGGCGGCCGUAACUAUAACGGUCCUAAGGUAGCGAAAUUCCUUGUCGGGUAAGUUCCGACCUGCACGAAUGGCGUAAUGAUGGCCAGGCUGUCUCCACCCGAGACUCAGUGAAAUUGAACUCGCUGUGAAGAUGCAGUGUACCCGCGGCAAGACGGAAAGACCCCGUGAACCUUUACUAUAGCUUGACACUGAACAUUGAGCCUUGAUGUGUAGGAUAGGUGGGAGGCUUUGAAGUGUGGACGCCAGUCUGCAUGGAGCCGGCCUUGAAAUACCACCCUUUAAUGUUGAUGUUCUAACGUGGACCCGUGAUCCGGGUUGCGGACAGUGUCUGGUGGGUAGUUUGACUGGGGCGGUCUCCUCCUAAAGAGUAACGGAGGAGCACGAAGGUUGGCUAAUCCUGGUCGGACAUCAGGAGGUUAGUGCAAUGGCAUAAGCCAGCUUGACUGCGAGCGUGACGGCGCGAGCAGGUGCGAAAGCAGGUCAUAGUGAUCCGGUGGUUCUGAAUGGAAGGGCCAUCGCUCAACGGAUAAAAGGUACUCCGGGAUAACAGGCUGAUACCGCCCAAGAGUUCAUAUCGACGGCGGUGUUUGGCACCUCGAUGUCGGCUCAUCACAUCCUGGGGCUGAAGUAGGUCCCAAGGGUAUGGCUGUUCGCCAUUUAAAGUGGUACGCGAGCUGGGUUUAGAACGUCGUGAGACAGUUCGGUCCCUAUCUGCCGUGGGCGCUGGAGAACUGAGGGGGGCUGCUCCUAGUACGAGAGGACCGGAGUGGACGCAUCACUGGUGUUCGGGUUGUCAUGCCAAUGGCACUGCCCGGUAGCUAAAUGCGGAAGAGAUAAGUGCUGAAAGCAUCUAAGCACGAAACUUGCCCCGAGAUGAGUUCUCCCUGAGACUUAGAGUCUCCUGAAGGAACGUUGAAGACGACGACGUUGAUAGGCCGGGUGUGUAAGCGCAGCGAUGCGUUGAGCUAACCGGUACUAAUGAACCGUGAGGCUUAACCUU
rnacentral:rRNA from 1 species